rnacentral:rRNA from 1 species
AUUGAACGCUGGCGGCAGGCCUAACACAUGCAAGUCGAGCGGAUGAAGGGAUCUUGCUCCUGGAUUCAGCGGCGGACGGGUGAGUAAUGCCUAUGAAUCUGCCUGGUAGUGGGGGAUAACGUCCGGAAACGGGCGCUAAUACCGCAUACGUCCUGUGGGACAAAGUGGGGGAUCUUCGGACCUCACGCUAUCAGAUGAGCCUAGGUCGGAUUAGCUAGUUGGUGGGGUAAAGGCCUACCAAGGCGACGAUCCGUAACUGGUCUGAGAGGAUGAUCAGUCACACUGGAACUGAGACACGGUCCAGACUCCUACGGGAGGCAGCAGUGGGGAAUAUUGGACACUGGGCGAAAGCCUGAUCCAGCCAUGCCGCGUGUGUGAAGAAGGUCUUCGGAUUGUAAAGCACUUUAAGUUGGGAGGAAGGGCAGUAAGUUAAUACCUUGCUGUUGUGACGUUACCAACAGAAUAAGCACCGGCUAACUUCGUG